rnacentral:rRNA from 1 species
AUUGAACGCUGGCGGCAGGCCUAACACAUGCAAGUCGAGCGAGCGGCGCACGGGUGUGUAAUGUAUGGGGACUGCCCCCUAGAGGGGGUUAACUACUGGAAACGGUGCUUAAUACCGCAUACUAUCGGAUAACCCAUAUGGGAUUAGCUAGUUGGUGGGGUAAAGGUUCACCUAGCCGACGAUCUCUAGCUGGUCUGGGAGGAUGGUCAGCCACACUGGGAACGGGACACGGCCCAGACGCCUACGGAGGCAGCAGUGGGGAAUAUUGGAGAAUGGGCGCAAGCCUGAUGCAGCCAUGCCACGUGUAUGAAGAAGGCCUUAGGGUUGUAAAGUACUUUCAGCGGGGAGGCGUUACCCGCAGAAGAAGCACCGGCUAACUCCGUGCCAGCAGCCGCGGUAAUUC